rnacentral:lncRNA from 1 species
UGAAACACCUGUUAUAGCUGAUCAUUAUGGAAGACAGAGUAGAGAAUGUGGAAGACAUGUUGCUUCCUUUUAAAUUCUUCCUAAUUGUGUUGUAAUUUCCCUAUGAGUAUUAUAAGGUAACCUUAUCAAAAUUCUUGUGUUUGCAUUUAAGUUACUGUAGACAUAUAAUCAUAUAGCUUUAAAUUUUUCAGUUAAAUUUCACUUAACUUCCUCCAUCAGCAGCUUAUUUUACUCAGUAUUUUACUCUUAAUUUCUUAAUGGGAUUAUGUCAGAUAAAAGAACUGUUUUACUUUUCCAAGAUGACAUCAUUUGGAUCACAGACUGAAGUUGUAAUUUUCCUGGAAUGGAUACCAAUCAGACAUUAUGGGGGAAAGGACUCCAGUGGAAAUAUGGCCAUAGAGCAACUAUUCCUGAUCAAGGCUUCCCAGGAAGUUUCUCUGGGGACUGAAGGAGGAACUAGAUGGCUAUGCCUAUUAUAGUCCUGUAUAUAGAUGAGUAAUGGAGUAAUGGUCUGUUCUCGGCUUAGAAGAAACAAAGACCACAGAUCCCCAGAGCUGUGCUGUCAUAGUUAUGUAACUAUUUUCUGAUGUGCUUAAUAAACUUUUUGCUCUGUUUGUCUUCCAGGUUUAUUCAGGAGAUUGAACAUGCCCUGGGACUUGGCCCAGCCAAGCAGUGUCCUCUUCGAGAGUUUCUCACCGUGUACAUCAAAAACAUCUUCCUCAAUCAGGUCUUGGCUGAGAUCAACAAGGAGAUUGAAGGAGUCACUAAAACGUCUGACCCCCUGAAGAUCCUAGCUAACGCAGACACCAUGAAGGUACUGGGAGUGCAGCGCCCUCUCCUGCAGAGCACAAUCAUUGUGGAGAAGACAGUGCAAGACCUCAUGAACCUGAUGCAUGACUUGAGUGCAUAUUCCGAUCAGUUCCUCAACAUGGUGUGCGUGAAGCUCCAAGAGUACAAGGACACCUGCUCUGUAGCCUACAGGGGCAUUGUCCAGUCAGAAGAAAAACUUGUCAUCAGUGCAUCUUGGGCAAAAGAUGAUGAUAUCAGCAGACUCUUAAAGUCAUUACCAAACUGGAUCAAUAUGGCUCAACCCAAACAGCUAAGGCCAAAGAGAGAAGAAGAAGAAGAUUUCAUAAGGGCAGCCUUUGGCAAGGAAUCUGAAGUUCUAAUUGGGAACCUGGGUGAUAAAUUAAUCCCUCCACAAGACAUCCUCCGUGACGUCAGUGACCUCAAAGCCUUGGCUAACAUGCAUGAAAGCUUAGAAUGGUUGGCAGGCCGAACGAAGUCAGCUUUCUCUAAUCUUUCUACAUCUCAGAUGCUUUCUCCUGCUCAAGAGAGCCAUGUGAACAUGGACCUGCCCCCUGUCUCCGAGCAGAUCAUGCAGACUCUGAGUGAACUUGCCAAGUCCUUCCAGGACAUGGCCGACCGCUGCUUGCUGGUCUUACAUCUGGAAGUGAGAGUUCACUGUUUCCACUAUCUCAUCCCUCUAGCAAAAGAGGGGAACUAUGCCAUUGUUGCCAAUGUGGAAAGCAUGGAUUAUGACCCUCUGGUGGUCAAGCUCAACAAAGAUAUCAGCGCCAUUGAAGAGGCUAUGAGUGCCAGCCUUCAACAGCACAAGUUCCAGUAUAUCUUUGAAGGCCUGGGACACCUCAUUUCCUGUAUCCUCAUCAAUGGUGCCCAGUACUUCAGGCGCAUCAGUGAAUCUGGCAUCAAGAAAAUGUGUAGAAACAUUUUUGUUCUUCAGCAGAACUUGACCAACAUCACCAUGUCACGAGAAGCAGACUUGGACUUUGCAAGGCAGUACUAUGAGAUGCUGUACAACACGGCCGACGAGCUCCUGAACCUGGUGGUGGACCAGGGCGUGAAGUACACGGAGCUGGAAUACAUCCACGCCCUGACCCUGCUGCACCGAAGUCAGACGGGAGUGGGGGACCAGACCACCCAGAACUCGAGGCUCCAGAGGCUUAAGGAGAUCAUCUGUGAGCAGGCGGCCAUCAAGCAGGCCACCAAAGAUAAGAAAAUAACUACUGUUUAAUGGGGUGCACUGCGGUAGGGUGGGGGUUGCUUUUGUUUCCUCAGACUCACCUCUUUAUUGGUAUGUUAUUUGGUAUCUUCCAAGGUUAGUUUUGUCUAUGCUGAUGCUUUAGUAGAAAGAAAAGUGUAAGGAUUAUUUUCUCUUUAGGUUUGGCUUUUGUUAGGAGCUCUGAAGGAAGUUUGCAGUACAAAAUGUUUUACUGUAACAACUACAUUAGUACAGUUGAUUCUAAAGGGGCUGAGGUAGGCCAAGGAAGGAAGGUAUAUCAAGCUAUUACACUCUGAGAAACGAAUGGAUGACUUAUACUUUGUUUAUUCCCCGGCAUAUAUAAAAUUCCAGCUUUCAAAGUAGACUGGCACCUAUGUUUUAGUCCAUUCCUAAAGCCACUUAAUAGUCUUCUGUUUCUACUCUCUUGACCUUGUUGGUUUACAGUCCAAUAAAAUAAGUGUACAUGCAUUGUUUUCUAUCACUUUACCCAAAUCAUAUAAAUGGCUUCUCAGCUGGUUGUGGCUUUCAACAAAUUUCCCUAACCAAAACAGGAACUCUUCAGAGUUAGGGGGGAAAAUAUCCUUUAUCUCAACCUCUUAGAGAAUUUAUAUGCUGUAGCUUGUACCUAGGCUGUUGGUUGGUUUACUGCCUUUGUAUUUUGACUGUAUCAAAACCAAGAGCCAUAAAUUAGUGAUAAAAAUGGAAGAAGGAAAGGUGGUCUGACCCACUCUGGUUUCCAAAAAAAUAAUGGUUAGAGAACGUCUCGCCUCACUUAAAACCUUGUUUGGAGGUUAAUGAUUCUGAGGUGCUUACUUAUCUUCCCAUGAACAUCUGGGAAAGUAGCCCAGGUUUGCUUAGCUGAGGGCAAGGAUGAUGGGACAGCCAUGACAUUUCUCCUCUCUCUGUGGGGCCACCAACUGAGCCUGUUUCAGAGUUGCUUUCCUGUAGUGCAGAUGCUCACUGUGUUCCUGGCACACUGGACUUCACCAUUACCCCAGGCCCCCAGUCCUCUUGCUGUGCAUGGUCACCUGUCACAGGAGGAACAGUGCGGUGAUCAGGAAGCAUCUUGAACACACAUGGAAAGGCGAGCGGGAAGGUCUGUGACUGGAUUUUGUGCCUGUUUGUAACAACUUUGGUUUUGAUGGAAUAAACAAAAAAAUAAAGACUGUCUUGAGAAGCUUAAAUGUGGCAUGUUGUUUUUCUUACAUUCUUUAUUCAGCAAACAUUCCCUGAUGGCCUAAUGUGUGCCAAGUACUGCUAUGCUCAGGGCAGAUAUGUAGACAAAGAGGACACUACUGUUAUCUAAGAAGGGACUUGACUCCAAAUCUUGAUGAGGGCUCACUCAGGGCUGAGCUAGGAAUUGGAUUAGACAGUGGAGCAGUUGUGCAGGGAUCCAGCAGGGAGCUGCAGGACAGCCUUCCGGGGGCUUCUGGAGGGAAGAAAUGCUACACAUUUAUAUGGGUCAGAGGGCUGACUGAGAAGAAUUUGAGUCUGUGUAGGAAACCACCAUGGAAAAACAAAUGGCUCCCAACAAGGUCCUUGGAAGUGAUCUACUGAAGAGUAGAUGUGGGAGGAAGACAAUAAGGGGAGAGCGCAAUAGAUCACUUUGGUAUGAAAGCCUCCACUUAAUAGCCACGGCAUCCCAGAGUAGACACUUUGAUUUCUCUUUUCCUUCCUGCCCCAUCCAGGGUAAUAAUACUGAGUGACUGCGAUGCCAGAAGAGCUAUGGAUAGGACUGGGGAGGGCUCAGCAUAGUGUUUCUGGAGGUAGAAAGGGUUGUGGUUUUGGGCUGAAUAGAAUGUCAGGAGCUCUGAGAACCAGCAGAGAAAUGGCAGAUCAGCUGCUACAGGGGAGCAUUUAGGAAAGUGGACACCUUGCUUGACUUUACAGUAAUGAUGGAAUUGAAAAGCAUCAAUUCUGCAUAGAAAGAGGAGGGUAGGGAUUUUGGUCUAAGACUUUCAAGGCACAAAUUUCUUUGAAGAUUAUCACAUCAGUCUUCAUUCUUCAAAAAGUCAAAAAUGCAUUCAGCAAAUGGUUGAAUGGAUGGAAAUGGAGAUGACUUGGCCAUCUUAAAACCUACCAUCAUUGGGGAUAAAGUGAAGGUUUCCACAGAUUAUGGUCUACUUUGGGGAGAUUAUCAGACUGGUUUUGUGCUAUUCAGAGUCAUGACUGGAAAGUGCUAGAAGAUCCAGGUCCACCAAGGAUAGGACCCAGAAUAUACACACACUGACAAAUAGCCACAGAGCAUUCUGCCGUAAGGACAACUCCUUAAAGUGUGCUGUUGCAGCUCAUAGGCCCGACAAGAUAGGCCUCACCAAAGAAGCACUGAAAACAAAGCAAACAGGACAAAUGGGAUGACAUACAGCUGGCCCUUCCUACCCAUGGCUUCUGCCUCGUAGGAUUCAGCUAACUACAGAUCACACCUACGUAUGGAAAAAAUUGUGUCUGUAUAACCAUGAACAGACCUUUUUCCUUAUCUUUAUUCCCUAGACAAAACAGUGCAACUAUUUACAUUGUGUUUAUAUUAUAUCAAGUAGUAUAAGUACCCUAGAAACGAUUUGGGACACAGGAGAGUGUGCAUAGGCUAUAUUCAGUAUCAUGCCACUGUAUAGAAGGGACUUGGGCAUCCUUGGAUUUUGGCAACCACAAGGGUCCUGGAACCAGUCCCCUUCCCAUACCAGGGACAGCAGUAUAUGGCACUUUGUUUGCAACACUAAUCACAGCACCUUGGAGAGGGCUCAAAGAACUAGGGAGAGCCUUGAGAUGGACAGUAGACAUGACUGUGAAGGAGAAGGGCUUUGAGGCUGUUACACCCAGCCUGAUCCUCAGAGAAAGCUCCACAAGCAAUGGCAGCUCCCAGGAAGAGCUUCCUGCUCACUGUCACCUGCUCUAUGAUACCUAUCAUUUUUUCCCAUUUUCUCCUCACAACAACCCUGUGUCAUAAACACUGCUUUCCUUUCUACCAUGCCCAGGGGAUCUGAAAGUAAUGGAAGAGUCUCUCCCAAUUUAGCCACCCUUAGGGUAAAUUCCUUUAAAAAAACUAAAUUUAACAGGAUGGAUUCAGUUCUUGAAAUGUGUUGGCAAGUAGUGUUCUCAGAAGUACUGGUAGUUGUUUCCACUGCAGGGUUUUGUUUUGUUUUAUUUUGUUACUUUUAGCUAUCUAUCUUGUGUCAGUACACCUCUUAAUUUAUAAACAAAACUAAUCUUCAGAUAUUCUUGUGCCCUUUACCCCAUCAGCACCUAUUUAAAAUACCCAUCCUAUUAAUAAAGUUUCUUCAAGAACUUUCAUCUUAAUGUGGUGUUUUUAUUCCUACCUCACAAUGGGAUUAUUAAAGCUUUUUACUCAACUAGAACUUUCUCCCCCUCACAGCUAAUAACAUCCCCACAUUAGACAAGGACACAGUACAUCCUCCUGCUGUCCUUGCCCGAAAUGGACAAUAUCUGCUUCCAGGCUCUGAAAGCCAAAUUUACUUCUUCUUUUUUGGUACCGGGGACUGAACUCGGGACCUUGUGCUUGCAAAGGCAGGCGGCAGAACUACUGAGCUAAAUCCCCAUCGGGCCAAAUUUACUUCUAAGUGGGUCCAGAUCAGCUGGAAUUCAGUGGUAGGGCCACGCCUGAGCUCCUACAGCCCAUACUCAUCAGUUGGGCAUUCACCCAAAGUCUGUGGUGGGACUUUCCACCCAGAAUCACUGCGUCAGGCACACAGUGUGACUCCAUUCACAUAAGCCCCAGACCCUCUUUGGGCUGCAAUCUUGCCUGCGUGUUUGCCAAGCUUAGUAGUCAUUAUUCUGUGGUUCAAAUAGGUUGGAAAGAAAAACUCCAACACAGACAAGUUAAAUUGGUGGCAACCAAACCCUGAUGAUUCUUACUGUCAAGUCAUAUCCACAUUUCUUAGCACUAAUGUAUUCAUUCAGUCAGUCAGAAAAAGAUAAUUGCCUCUUACAGCUCAGGUGAUGUGGGAUUCAUGCAAUGGCAAGCAAAAAAGACAGUUCCUGUGACAUGGCACUUAAACUUCCACUUGCUGCUUAAAACUUCCACUGUGAUCUUCCUCUUGCCAGAGUCCCCCAAUUCUGUAAGACUUCCUUUCAUUUAGGAAGACAUCUGAUAGGAUUGAGGACUGAAACUUUCAGCCAGACCCUGUGGGGGGCCUUGACCCCCGCUAGAACUCUUGAGUGCCUUUUACGGACAUAUCCGGGCCUGCUGCAAAUCUACCCGGCAACAAGGAAGUAGCCCCAGUACCCUCUCGCUCCUCCCCUCUAGCCCUACGGUAUAUAUGUUGUAGCAGCUUCCGCAAUAAACGAGACUUGAUCAGAAACCUGUCUUGUCUCCAUCUCUCGUGUCCCCUGUCCCCUCUC